UUAUCAGUAACCUGAGGUCUUUCCUGUGGACGCAGGUCCAGCAGUCUCACCAGCAGGGUGGUUCAGGUCCGUCGUUUGGUCACCUCCACUCCCUGUCGUUGCGCUGGCCCUGGGGAGACACCUGGGGACGUUCUGAGAAGUGGUAGACCGAGGAACAUCUUCUAUCAACAACUUGCUCAGCUACAUCAUCUUCAGUAUCCUGCCCACCAUCGCUGAUAUAGUCAUCGCCAUCCUCUACUUUGUGUCCUACUUCAAUGCCUUGUUCGGCCUCAUCGUCUUCAUCUGCUUGCUGAUCUACCUCACUUUCACCAUCCUGAUUACUGAGUGGAGGACCAAGUACAGACGAGACAUGAACACUCAGGACAACAACGCCAAGUCUAAGGCUGUGGAUUCACUGCUCAACUUUGAGACGGUGAAAUAUUACAAUGCCGAGGGGUAUGAAGUGACCUGCUUCGAGGAGGCAAUUCUGAAGUACCAGCAGUCAGAGUGGAAGACCAACGCGUCAUUGGCCCUACUGAACCAGACCCAGAACCUGAUCAUUGGCUCAGGGCUAUUAGCAGGAUCUCUGCU